rnacentral:rRNA from 1 species
AUUGAACGCUGGCGGCAGGCCUAACACAUGCAAGUCGAGCGGAUGAAGGGAGCUUGCUCCUGGAUUCAGCGGCGGACGGGUGAGUAAUGCCUAGGAAUCUGCCUGGUAGUGGGGGAUAACGUCCGGAAACGGGCGCUAAUACCGCAUACGUCCUGAGGGAGCAAGUGGGGGAUCUUCGGACCUCACGCUAUCAGAUGAGCCUAGGUCGGAUUAGCUAGUUGGUGGGGUAAAGGCAUACCAAGGCGACGAUCCGUAACUGGUCUGAGAGGAUGAUCAGUCACACUGGAACUGAGACACGGUCCAGACUCCUACGGGAGGCAGCAGUGGGGAAUAUUGGACAAUGGGCGAAAGCCUGAUCCAGCCAUGCCGCGUGUGUGAAGAAGGUCUUCGGAUUGUAAAGCACUUUAAGUUGGGAGGAAGGGCAGUAAGUUAAUACCUUGCUGUUUUGACGUUACCAACAGAAUAAGCACCGGCUAACUUCGUG